UAGCUCAGUUGGAAGAGCAUUGGGCUAGUAUUCCAAAGGUCGUAGGUUCGAAUCCCAC
rnacentral:tRNA from 1 species